CUGCCUGCUUCUCCUGCCUCAGCCUGCAGAGUGCCUGGGACUGCAGACGCGCGCCGCCACGCCUGACUGGUUUUCGUAUUUUUUGGUGGAGACGGCGUUUCACAGUGUUGGCCGGGCUGGUCUCCAGCUCCUGACCACGAGUGAUCUGCCAGCCUCGGCCUCCCGAGGUGCCGGGAUUGCAGACGGAGUCUCGCUCGCUCAGAGCUCAAUGUUGCCCAGGCUGGAGUGCAGUGGCGUGAUCUCAGCUCGCUACAACCUCCACCUCCCAGCCGCCUGCCUUGGCCUCCCGAGGUGCCGGGAUUGCAGACGGAGUCUCGCUCACUCAGAGCUCAAUGUUGCCCAGGCUGGAGUGCAGUGGCGUGAUCUCGGCUCGCUACAACCUCCACCUACCUCCCAGCCGCCUGCCUUGGCCUCCCAAAGUGCCGAGAUUGCAGCCUCUGCCCGGCUGCCACCCCGUCUAGGAAGUAAGGAGCGUCUCUGCCCGGCUGCCCAUGGUCUGGGAUGUGGGGAGGGCCUCUGCCCCGCCGCCCCGUCUGAGAUGUGAAGAGCGCCUCUGCCCGGCCGCGACCCCGUCUGGGAACUGAGGAGUGUCUCUGCCCCGCCGCCACCCCGUCUGGGAGGUUGGGAGGGACGUGCAUGACAAUUAGACUUUGUGCUCUACUGAAUGAGGGAAUAAAUCAAGAAAGAAGACAUGGAUCACUGGACUCAACAUAAGAAAGGGUUGAAGGAAAACCCCAUAAUGAUGGUGAAAGACUCAGCCCUCCUGCACCCAGGUGAUUAAAAGCUUUAUGGCUCACACAAAGCCUGUUUGGUGGUCUCUUCACACGGACACAAGUGAAAUUUGGUGCCAUGACUCAGAUCGAGGGACCUCCCUUGGGAGAUCAAUCCCCUGUCCUCCUGCUCUUUGCUCCAUGAAAAAGAUCCACCUACAACCUCAGGUCCUGAGACCCACCAGCCCAAGGAACAUCUCACCAAUUUUAAAUCAGGUAAGCGGCCUCUUCUUACUUGCUUCUCCAACCUCUCUCACUAUCCCUCAACCACUUUCUCCUUUCAAUCUUGGUGCCACUCUUCAAUCU
rnacentral:lncRNA from 1 species